rnacentral:sRNA from 1 species
UAGUUUUGUUACGGGACGUUUGGUUAC